rnacentral:lncRNA from 1 species
AAACCAGUGAUGGUCAAGCAUCCCUCUGCGUUCCUGCUGAGUGUGUCUGCAUUACAGCUCACAGAGGAAGUGUAUUGGAAGAAUCCAUCUGGAUGCGUCACUAUACUGAAGUUGCAAACGAAGCCCACAUCUUGCCAAGCAGCUGUGACUGUACUAUAGCAUCAUCCAUAGCUUUCCUGAGGAGGAGGAAAUCGCCCCGAUCCCGGCAGCUCAUUGCUACAGACUGAAGGGGUGAAA